GACGAACGCUGGCGGCGUGCCUAAUACAUGCAAGUCGAACGAGAGCGACCGGUGCUUGCACUGGUCAAUCUAGUGGCGAACGGGUGAGUAACACGUGGGUAACCUGCCCAUCAGAGGGGGAUAACAUCCGGAAACGGAUGCUAAAACCGCAUAGGUCUUCGAGCCGCAUGGCUUGAAGGGGAAAAGAGGCGCAAGCUUCUGCUGAUGGAUGGACCCGCGGUGCAUUAGCUAGUUGGUGAGGUAACGGCUCACCAAGGCCGUGAUGCAUAGCCGACCUGAGAGGGUGAUCGGCCACAUUGGGACUGAGACACGGCCCAAACUCCGACGGGAGGCAGCAGUAGGGAAUCUUCCGCAAUGGACGCAAGUCUGACGGAGCAACGCCGCGUGAGUGAAGAAGGUUUUCGGAUCGUAAAACUCUGUUGUUAGAGAAGAACAAGUGCUAGAGUAACUGUUAGCGCCUUGACGGUAUCUAACCAGAAAGCCACGGCUAACUACGUG
rnacentral:rRNA from 1 species